GACGAACGCUGGCGGCGUGCUUAACACAUGCAAGUCGAACGGAAAGGCCCUGCUUCUGUGGGGUGCUCGAGUGGCGAACGGGUGAGUAACACGUGAGUAACCUGCCCUUGACUUUGGGAUAACUUCAGGAAACUGGGGCUAAUACCGGAUAGGAGCUCCUGCUGCAUGGUGGGGGUUGGAAAGUUUCGGCGGUUGGGGAUGGACUCGCGGCUUAUCAGCUUGUUGGUGGGGUAGUGGCUUACCAAGGCUUUGACGGGUAGCCGGCCUGAGAGGGUGACCGGCCACAUUGGGACUGAGAUACGGCCCAGACUCCUACGGGAGGCAGCAGUGGGGAAUAUUGCACAAUGGGUGGAAGCCUGAUGCAGCAACGCCGCGUGCGGGAUGACGGCCUUCGGGUUGUAAACCGCUUUCGCCUGUGACGAAGCGUAAGUGACGGUAAUGGGUAAAGAAGCACCGGCUAACUACGUG
rnacentral:rRNA from 1 species